AGUGGGAUCCCAUUGGAGGUGGCGGAAGUUACGGAGAAUUAUAUGUUGGACCUGGAGGCUGGUGGGGUGGUAGGUAAGGACAAGGGGAACCCUAUCCCGAGAGGGGUGGCGGGUGGAUGGGGUGAGGGCAGAUGUGAGGGAAAUGGGAGAGAUGUGUUUGAGAGCAGAGUUGAUGGUGGACGAAGGGAAGCCCCUUUGCUUAAAAAAGGAAGACAUCUCCUUCAUCCUGGAAAGAAAAGCCUCAUCCUGAGAGCAGAUGCAGCGGAGACGGAAGAAUUGUCAGAAGGGGAUAGCCUUUUUGCAAGAGACAGGGUGGGAAGAGGAAUAGUCCAGGUAGCUGUGAGAGUCUGCAGGCUUAUAGUAGAUAUCAGUAGAUAGGCCGUCUCCUGAGAUGGAGACAAGAAAGGGGAGGGAGAUGUCGGAAAUGGACCAGGUAAAUUUGAGGGCAGGGUGAAAGUUGGAGGCAAAGUUAAUGAAGUCCUUUGUAAUCUGUAUUUGGUCCAAGACCUCACCCCACUGUUUUGUUUCUCUUAUAGACACCGUGUCCAUCUCCUGAUUAAAUAUAGAUGCAAAAAUUCCAUUCAAGAUUCCCCCUCCCCCCAUUCUUUUUUGAUUCCUUGCAUAGAUGACCACUCUGAUCUUCAAGUGAACCAAUUUUUUCCUUUGCUAUCCUUUUGCUCUGAAUUUAUCUGUAGAAGCCCUUGGGAUUCUCCUUCACCUUGUCUGCUAGAGCAACCUCAUGCUUUUUUUAGCCCUGCUGAUUCCAUUUAUGGAAUGUUCUCUUGCAUUUCUUAUUCUCAAGUACCUCAAUUUUUCCUUCCUACCUAUACUUGCUAUUCUCUUCUUUUUCUUCAUAACCAGAGCUAAAAUAACCUUCAUACAAAGGUUCCCUAAAUCUGUUAUCCCUGCCCUUUAUUCUGACCAGAACAUACAAAAGGACUGAAAAAUGGAAAGCUGCAGUGUGCAACAACUUCUACUGUGAUCACAGUUACUCCAGGCCAGUCCUCCAGAUAAUAGGCCAACUCACGCUGACCCUGGCUACAACACCAGAGGGAGAAGGCUGACUGCAUUUUGCUGCAGUUUAAGGAAUCAAUCUUAAGCUGAACAAUUAUGGAUCAACGUGAUACCAUGUGGAUGCUUCUCUUCUGAACUCCCAAAUUAAUGGUUACAACGAUCAGACCAAGUAUUGCAAAAAGAAGGCUGGCUACAUUGGCUGUCAGGGGGGAAGUAGUACAAAGUAGUUUCUGGUGAAGAGAAUACAAACAAGAAUGGAAAGUCAGCUUGCAGACAAGUAUCAAAGUAGCGGAGCACCUAACCCAGUGGACAAUAUUAUGUGCAAGGAAACUCCGUGGUUGUGCAAUAUGUCAUUCAGCAGAGGACUAUAUACGUAUAUUUUGCUGCUGGAAUUGGUUCUGCCCCCUCCCUGUGUUCACCUGGCAGAAGACCGUACACAUGUGUAUUUCACAUGGUUGUGUUCUAUAUGUGUUUGUUACAUUGUAGAUGCGAGGACUGGGCCCCAAGCUGCUGUGUCACCUGGGCGAGAUGGCGGUGGGGAGGGAAGAUAUUGCGGUCAGUGUAUUCCACCAGAGGCAGUGGGGUCUAAGCUGAUGUCAGUGCUGCCUCCUAAGUGUUUGCUCAACAGACUAAAUAUUUUGUUGGGCUGGGUUGGGGGUGGUGUGGAGGGUGUCUGGACUACAUGUCCAUAUUUUGUGCGAUAAGAUUUUAAUGAUAUUCUAUAUGGGCUUGUUGUCCUCUAUAUGUGAAGACUGGGCUUCAAGCCACACCGUUGCCUGGGGAGUGGUGGGUGUGCUUUGGGGCCAGAGUGCUCCACCAGAGGUGAUGUGGCAUGGCAUAGGGUCAGUGCUGCCACCUAGUGUUCAAUGGUAUGGGUUUUGUUCUCUGGUAUUGUGUGAUUGGGAUACCAUGUGUGUUUUGUAUGAUUUUGGUACUGUAUAAGAUGAUGAGAGGAGUUGAUCAUGUGGUUAGCCAGAGGUUUUUUUCUCACGGCUGGAAUGGAAUGGAAGGGUAUAGUUUUAAGGUGCUUGGAAGUAGGAACAAGGGGAUGUUAGAGGUACAUUUUUCACACAGGGAGUGGUGGGUGCGUGGAAUCCCCAGCCAGUGAAGAUGGUGGAACAGAUACAAUAGGGUCUUUUAAGAGAUUCCUAGAUAGGUACACGGAGCUUAGGAAAAUAGAGGGCUAUGUAGUAGGGAGAUUCUAGGCAGUUUCUAGAGUAGGUUACAUGGUUGACACAACAUUGUGGGCCGAAGGGCCUGUAAUGUGCUGUAAAUUUCUAUGUUUCUAUGUAUUAAAGCCUCUUUCUGUUUGUUAAGAAGGUAUGGAGCUAAAAUUAAUCCAUGUCAAUAAUACAAAAAAUGCUGAGUGAAUCCUAAACUGCUUUACAGCAUGAUUAAAAUGUAUCUCAUUCUUUAAGACUCAUGUACUGAAGAUAGUCUUUUAAUGAAUUUUAUUAUUAUAUUUCCUUUUAUGUAUUUGUCCCAUACGAAGAACAAUAUGUUGCAUUAACACCGAAGGAUGUGCUUUGACUAGUCAUAAAGCAAAGUACUGGUCAGAAAAAUCUGAGAACACUUGGACAAGUCAUAACAUUAUACUUCAAUCUUUCCUUCAAGCGCAUUGUUGUUUCCAUAGCAGGCUGUGAUACAAUUAGUCAGUACUGUAUACUCCCCACCGCAUAUCUAUAGGAGUUUGUCAAAGUUUCAGCUGACGUGCAGAAUCUGCACAAACUUCUAAGGAAGUAGAGGUGCUGCAGUGCCUUCUUUCUAAUGCCAGUUACGUGCUGGACCCAGGACAGAUCCUCUGAAAUGAUAAUGCCAAGGAAUUUAAAGUUGCUGACCUCUGA